rnacentral:rRNA from 1 species
UUUGGUCGCCAACGAGUGGCGGACGGGUGAGUAACACGUAGGUAACCUGCCCAGAAGCGGGGGACAACAUUUGGAAACAGAUGCUAAUACCGCAUAACAGCGUUGUUCGCAUGAACAACGCUUAAAAGAUGGCUUCUCGCUAUCACUUCUGGAUGGACCUGCGGUGCAUUAGCUUGUUGGUGGGGUAACGGCCUACCAAGGCGAUGAUGCAUAGCCGAGUUGAGAGACUGAUCGGCCACAAUGGGACUGAGACACGGCCCAUACUCCUACGGGAGGCAGCAGUAGGGAAUCUUCCACAAUGGGCGCAAGCCUGAUGGAGCAACACCGCGUGAGUGAAGAAGGGUUUCGGCUCGUAAAGCUCUGUUGUUAAAGAAGAACACGUAUGAGAGUAACUGUUCAUACGUUGACGGUAUUUAACCAGAAAGUCACGGCUAACUACGUGCCAGCAGCCGCGGUAAUACGUAGGUGGCAAGCGUUAUCCGGAUUUAUUGGGCGUAAAGAGAGUGCAGGCGGUUUUCUAAGUCUGAUGUGAAAGCCUUCGGCUUAACCGGAGAAGUGCAUCGGAAACUGGAUAACUUGAGUGCAGAAGAGGGUAGUGGAACUCCAUGUGUAGCGGUGGAAUGCGUAGAUAUAUGGAAGAACACCAGUGGCGAAGGCGGCUACCUGGUCUGCAACUGACGCUGAGACUCGAAAGCAUGGGUAGCGAACAGGAUUAGAUACCCUGGUAGUCCAUGCCGUAAACGAUGAGUGCUAGGUGUUGGAGGGUUUCCGCCCUUCAGUGCCGGAGCUAACGCAUUAAGCACUCCGCCUGGGGAGUACGACCGCAAGGUUGAAACUCAAAGGAAUUGACGGGGGCCCGCACAAGCGGUGGAGCAUGUGGUUUAAUUCGAAGCUACGCGAAGAACCUUACCAGGUCUUGACAUCUUGCGCCAACCCUAGAGAUAGGGCGUUUCCUUCGGGAACGCAAUGACAGGUGGUGCAUGGUCGUCGUCAGCUCGUGUCGUGAGAUGUUGGGUUAAGUCCCGCAACGAGCGCAACCCUUGUUACUAGUUGCCAGCAUUAAGUUGGGCACUCUAGUGAGACUGCCGGUGACAAACCGGAGGAAGGUGGGGACGACGUCAGAUCAUCAUGCCCCUUAUGACCUGGGCUACACACGUGCUACAAUGGACGGUACAACGAGUCGCGAACUCGCGAGGGCAAGCAAAUCUCUUAAAACCGUUCUCAGUUCGGACUGCAGGCUGCAACUCGCCUGCACGAAGUCGGAAUCGCUAGUAAUCGCGGAUCAGCAUGCCGCGGUGAAUACGUUCCCGGGCCUUGUACACACCGCCCGUCACACCAUGAGAGUUUGUAACACCCAAAGUCGGUGGGGUAACCUUUUAGGAGCCAGCCGCCUAAGGUGGGACAGAUGAUUAGGGUGAA